GCUGUGGGUAGCUCAGUGGCAGAGCACCGAAAAGCGAUGGGCGAACUUUGUCCGGCAACGGGCCGCUGCUUCAUCGUUACCGCUCAUAACGGGGAGGUCGCGGGUUCGACUCCCGCCCCACAGCC
rnacentral:tRNA from 1 species